GAAAAGAGGACUUCUCCCACUGCUGGUGCUGUGCUACCCACUGAAGACGGUCCAGGAAACAAAGAAGAAGACUGAAAGGAUACCACUGGGAGUGCUUCAGUGAGGACCUCAGUGACCGUUCUCCAUCACAGUAGGUGCUCAGCGGAGGGGACUACCUCACCCUUGAGAGGCAGAAACAAGCCAAUCAUGCACUUACGAGAUGGACCUACACCAAGUUCCAGAUUACAAGGACUUGUUCCAAAGAUGGAAGAGUUCCAUAACGAAGCUGAAUUUCUAAAGGUUAUAUGGAAACACUUGUACUCGUCCUCCUCUAACAAGUCUGUUUGGCACUCUGCAUGCUGCAAAGGAGCACAAUAAAUGCGGUGAAUGUUACUCAGGAUCCUCAUGACAACUUUUACCCAUGCUCUGAAUUCAUGGACAAGGUCACCACCGCCUACAUCGUAACUGGGGGACUACAUUACUUCCAAAUGGAACACCUCACUUCUGUCCCAACGUCAAGUUACAUGGGUGCUGUUGGCAAUCCAUAUAAAAUGAUUGAUUAUUUUCUAGGUCAUGCAGCAAAACAGUUUGUAGACAAGCACGUCUUACCGGAGGUUCCUCAACAGCCAGGUCAUGGUCUCCAAAUCAAACACACUAGCCUGCAGGUACUGUGGAAAACUGUACCAGAGACCAAAAGCUCUCCGCAAACACGAAGCAUCCGGAAUAUAAUGCUGAAAACAAUCAGGAUUCCACAUCUUCAGCAGAAUCAAGAUCAUCUAUUUAUCAGUACACCCGUCUGUCUCUCAUGCUUGGGCUUCUUCGAAUAAAUCACAACGAUUCCAUUCACAUGGGAGAUGGUGGCAGGCAUGAUGAGACUAGUAAAGUGGUUCUGUUUAUACUACAAGGCAAGCAAAUGUCCAAAGUAUGCAUAUGGUCUCCUUUGAAACACAGGCAAAGGCAUAUGCUCUCCUAUAUGAACGGCAGGCUUUAUAGAUUGAUAUGGAACCGCACAGUCAACCAUCAAGGCAGAGAAGACACCAAUCAUCCCAUCGACCUUGACUUGGAGCAUUGCAACAGGGCUUUCAAAGAUGAUGUACACACAUACAAGGGGAGGUACACAGAUAAAAGACGAUUCUCAAAGUCAGCAGAAGUGCGCUGUCAAUGGAAGAAUUAUGCCAAAAAUACGACAAAUUGGCAUUCCGCAAGAAAUGUUCGGGAAGGCAUGGAGUUGUUGAUCCUUCUUGGUGAUAUUCUUAAACUUGUAGAACAAUUCCAUUCCUAUGCAGCUCUAUUCAAUGAGGCCAACAAGCCACUGCCACAGAGAAAUCAAAAACAUGCUGAGUGACAUCCAAAAUUGGAUUUCAGAAAGUCUUAAAGUCUUCAGUAGCCGCACAUACUAUAACAUCUGAACCUUUUUUCCCGAUGUGUAAUUCAGUGUCACAUGAUUAAAACGAGACCCUGUUGCAAAGUCGCUAUCACUGUAUGUUUCAUGAUCUUCAUGUUCUGAGUCUGAGUGAGAUGAUGAGCUAUCACUCGAGUCAAGGGAAGUUUUGUACAACUCAAGAAUAUCACAUCUACAUUCACUACAUGGGGUAAUUGCAUGUCCAUGAGUCUCUGCAGUCACAGAGACACUUGCAAGAUAUGGCACAGUUGUCCAUAGCACUCAUGACUUCAGUAAAGCUCAACUCGUCGACAUACGUUGGUUCUGACAUACUGUUUCAUUUCAUCCGAAAUAUUCCGCCUGCCACUGAGACAUCGUCUAAAUUUCAUGAGAAGAGCAUGUGCCUGCUUUUCUGGAUCCCUGCCUGCUCCGUCCUUGUCUCUUGAAUAUAAUCCUCAACAUUAUUGGCUGGACCAUAGUGGAUGACGGUUUCCACACUUUGUAAGUCCCAAGCUGAAUGGUGUUGAGCAAUGGACUAUCAAGGGACUAUCAUCCUCUUGAAACCAUUUGGAUCCAUGAAGGACUCUGACACACUUCCCUGUUUUCCUUCUCAUUCAUACAUAUUCUGUAUGUUGUUAUGCAUGAUUGAUGUUGAACUUUAAUUGAAACUUUAGCUUGAAAAUUGGCCGAUUUCUUUUAUGAAAUUUAACUCCUAUUAUAAGAAUAAGAUCAACAUAUGCAAAAACAAUUGUUGUUAGAUGAUUAUUUUUUUGUAACCGAUCAACAAGAUCAACUUUAGUGUUUUAGUGUUUUAACUUAGCUAAUGUAAUGUAAUACAGUGGAUGUAUGCAUUCCUUUUUCAUAAGGGCAUUAACAUAUAUUACAUAAUGCCUCUACCUGGGACUGCGGCCAAACUUACAAAAUUAACCCUUGUUUGAGAGUAACAAGUAUCAAGUUCAUGAUGAUUGUAGAAGUGAUUGUAUGUAUUCAUAAAUGUGACACAUGCACAUUUUGAAAUGUUAAUAUUUGUGCUUUAACUUUGAUUUGAUGAAUAUCAAAUUAGAUAUUGUAUACACUUUAUAGCUACUUGUGAUCAGUGCACAUUUUUAUACCUUUAGAUUGUGCAGUUUCAUAGUGGUUAGUAAGAAUAUUUUGUGAAUUUAUACUUGUUUUAUCACAAAACAUGUGAAUGAGUGAAUGUCGUCUCAUACUGCAGUCAGCAAUAUUGCAGCCAUAUGAAGGCAGCCUGUAAACCAGUAAUUGAUACGCACACCAUCCUAGUACAUAAAACAUUCGCUCUCCAUGCCUAUUUAUGGUGUCCCCGUCGUGAUUUUGCUGGGAUAUUGCCAAAAGAUGCGUAAAUCCAUGCUCUCUCAAUUCAACAUGCCAUGCCUUGACAGACAAAACGAAAUACAAAAUAUAACAUUUAUACUUACAAUUUUGCAAUGCAGUGUGCUUCAUCAAUGAAAAUUGCCAUCAAAAUCUUCUCUUUAGUCAGGCUGUGUUCCAAGAACUGUCUCUGGACUUGCAAAUAUUAUUAUGUCAGUGUCAGGGUGAAAAAACCGUCACAGUAGCAUGGUUGGAGUUAUUAAGUUUCUUAAACACGAAUGGUGCUAAUUCAAAAGUAAGUGAUUUUCCUGAUCCUGUUGGAGAAAAAAAAGGACAUCCUUUCCUCUGAGGUAACUUACAAUCACUUGUCUUUGAUGAUUCCUGAAGUGAUCAAUUAUGUAACUGCAUUACCUUCCAUACCAACAGUUAUACAUGUAGUUAAGUUAAAUAGAGGGCGUAUAUACUUAAAACACAACAUCAAUCCUUUGUUCCGUUCAGCAGUGUGUCAGAUUCGUGAUGGCUAGCUUGAGGUGGCUAGACUUGCUUUUUGUAUGCAUUACUAGAUUAUUUUUUUAAAUGAAAUAAAUAUAUUCCACGGUCA
rnacentral:lncRNA from 1 species